UGGGGAAUAUUGGACAAUGGGCGAAAGCCUGAUCCAGCCAUGCCGCGUGAGUGAAGAAGGUCUUCGGAUUGUAAAGCUCUUUUGGCGGGGAAGAUGAUGACUGUACCCGCAGAAUAAGCCCCAGCUAACUUCGUGCCAGCAGCCGCGGUAAUACGAAGGGGGCUAGCGUUGUUCGGAAUCACUGGGCGUAAAGCGCGCGCAGGUGGCUUGUUAAGACAGAAGUGAAAGCCUGGGGCUUAACCCCAGAAUUGCUUUUGUGACUGGCGAGCUAGAAUCUGGGAGGGGAAUGCGGAAUACCGAGUGUAGAGGUGAAAUUCGUAGAUAUUCGGUGGAACACCAAUGGCGAAGGCAGCAUUCUGGAACAUGAUUGACACUGAGGCGCGAAAGCGUGGGGAGCAAA
rnacentral:rRNA from 1 species